GUUUAUUUUGCUGCACAGAUGGAAUUUAGGAUAAGCCCUCAGCUAUGUGAUCUCUGAGAAAGUGUCUAGUGUGUGUUGGUGUAAGACACCUGGUAUCUUUAGGCAGCAUGAGUCCUUUGUAAUUACUACAGGUUCUGCAAAGAACUAUUACUCUUGGCAAGGACUUUAUUGACAUUCCCUUUAGCAAACAGAGACUCGGUGAUGUUCACGGCCACCAGCUCUCAGGAAAGGCUGUUGUGGGCAGCAACACAGCUGGACAUUCCUUUGCUUACUGAUGGGAGAUUCAUAAGGAUACUUGCUCUUGGAGCCCACCUGCCCUGCUGGGAGGUGCUGGGAACACCUGGAGAGCCAUGUGCAGCUGUGUGGCCAGCAAUCCCAGCUUUGUUCCCAGCCAGCUGCCAGACCUGGGAGUGAGGAAGCCUUCCAGAAGACCCCAGCCUAGUCCCCAUCUGACAGCGACCUCAUGAGAUAUCCUGAGUGAGAUCUACCCAGCCGAGCCCAAUAAACCCAUGAAAACAUCAGAGAGAUGAGGUUUUGCCAUGUUGCCAAGGCUGGUCUCAAACUCCUGGGCUCAAGUGAUCUGCCUGCCUCUGCCUUCCAAAGUACUGAGAUUACAGGAGUGAGUCACCACAUCCAGUCCUCUUUUUCCUUUUUCUUUUAGAUUCCACAUCUUUUCUGGGGUUGUGCUGGUUAUACCAACCUUAUCUCAGCUACCUGAAGGAUUGUCGUGCUGGAGAAGACGUGUGGAGACCCACCUGACCAAAGCUCAACUUCAUGAACAUAAGAGCUGGAGGAACUGCCUCUCAGACUGUCCAGCUUGCUCAGAAAAGUGGCCUUCCUUUGGCUGGGAGAUGGAUGAAGAAAUUGAAGCCCAGAAAAAUUAAGUAACUUGUCCAAAUCCAAACAGAUGAGUUAAAAUCAUGAUGACUGUUUAGUGGCUUGAAGACAUUUUGUGUAACAUUUCAGCUUCAAUAAGAAGACGGGAGCUUGGUGCAAGGAUGUUUUACUGGGAGCCUACAGUGGAGCUCAGAAAGUCAUGUUCCGGCUGGACGCAGUGGCUUAUGCCUACAAUCCCAGCACUUUGGGAGGCCAAGGCAGGUGGAUUGCUUGAGCUCAGGAGUUCAAGACCAGCCUGGGCGACAUGGUGAAACUCCAUCUCUGCAAAAAGUACAAAAAAUUAGCCAGGUGUCAUG
rnacentral:lncRNA from 1 species